GAUGAACGCUGACAGAAUGCUUAACACAUGCAAGUCUACUUGAACUUCGGUUUGGGUGGCGGACGGGUGAGUAACGCGUAAAGAACUUGCCUCACAGAUAGGGACAACAUUUGGAAACGAAUGCUAAUACCUGAUAUUAUGAUUUUAGGGCAUCCUAGAAUUAUGAAAGCUAUAUGCACUGUGAGAGAGCUUUGCGUCCCAUUAGCUAGUUGGAGAGGUAACGGCUCACCAAGGCGAUGAUGGGUAGCCGGCCUGAGAGGGUGAUCGGCCACAAGGGGACUGAGACACGGCCCUUACUCCUACGGGAGGCAGCAGUGGGGAAUAUUGGACAAUGGACCAAGAGUCUGAUCCAGCAAUUCUGUGUGAACGAUGAAGUUUUUCGGAAUGUAAAGUGCUUUCAGUUGGGAAGAAAAAAAUGACGGUACCAACAGAAGAAGUGACGGCUAAAUACGUG
rnacentral:rRNA from 1 species